GACGAACGCUGGCGGCGUGCCUAAUACAUGCAAGUUGAGCGCUGAAGGUUGGUACUUGUACCGACUGGAUGAGCAGCGAACGGGUGAGUAACGCGUGGGGAAUCUGCCUUUGAGCGGGGGACAACAUUUGGAAACGAAUGCUAAUACCGCAUAAAAACUUUAAACACAAGUUUUAAGUUUGAAAGAUGCAAUUGCAUCACUCAAAGAUGAUCCCGCGUUGUAUUAGCUAGUUGGUGAGGUAAAGGCUCACCAAGGCGAUGAUACAUAGCCGACCUGAGAGGGUGAUCGGCCUCAUUGGGACUGAGACACGGCCCAAACUCCUACGGGAGGCAGCAGUAGGGAAUCUUCGGCAAUGGACGAAAGUCUGACCGAGCAACGCCGCGUGAGUGAAGAAGGUUUUCGGAUCGUAAAACUCUGUUGGUAGAGAAGAACGUUGGUGAGAGUGGAAAGCUCAUCAAGUGACGGUAACUACCCAGAAAGGGACGGCUAACUACGUG
rnacentral:rRNA from 1 species